GUAGGUGGCAAGCGUUGUCCGGAAUUAUUGGGCGUAAAGCGCGCGCAGGCGGUUCUUUAAGUCUGAUGUGAAAGCCCACGGCUCAACUGUGGAGGGUCAUUGGAAACUGGAGAACUUGAGUACAGAAGAGGAAAGCGGAAUUCCACGUGUAGCGGUGAAAUGCGUAGAGAUGUGGAGGAACACCAGUGGCGAAGGCGGCUUUCUGGUCUGUAACUGACGCUGAGGCGCGAAAGCGUGGGGAGCAAACAGGAUUAGAUACCCUGGUAGUCCACGCCGUAAACGAUGAGUGCUAAGUGUUAGGGGGUUUCCGCCCCCCUUAGUGCUGCAGCUAACGCAUUAAGCACUCCGCCUGGGAGUACGGCCGCAAGGCUG
rnacentral:rRNA from 1 species